CCUACGGGAGGCAGCAGUGGGGAAUAUUGGACAAUGGGGGGAACCCUGAUCCAGCGACGCCGCGUGAGUGAAGAAGUAUUUCGGUAUGUAAAGCUCUAUCAGCAGGGAAGAAAGAAAUGACGGUACCUGACUAAGAAGCCCCGGCUCACUACGUGCCAGCAGCCGCGGUAAUACGGAGGGGGCAAGCGUUAUCCGGAGUUACUGGGUGUAAAGGGAGCGUAGACGGCGAUGCAAGUCUGAAGUGAAAGGCGGGGGCCCAACCCCUGGACUGCUUUGGAAACUGUAUGGCUGCAGUGCAGGAGAGGUAAGUGGAAUUCCUAGUGUAGCGGUGAAAUGCGUAGAUAUUAGGAGGAACACCAGUGGCGAAGGCGGCUUACUGGACUGUAACUGACGUUGAGGCUCGAAAGCGUGGGGAGCAAACAGGAUUAGAUACCCCGGUAGUC
rnacentral:rRNA from 1 species